GUUUUUGUAGUGUAGUGGUUAUCACGUUCACCUAACAUGCGAAAGGUCCCUGGUUUGAGACCGGGUGGAAACA